rnacentral:rRNA from 1 species
UACAUGGGGUGCAAACGUUGCUCGGAAUCAUUGGGCGUAAAGCGCGCGUAGGCGGUUACUUAAGUUGGAUGUGAAAGCCCUCGGCUUAACCGAGGAAGUGCAUCCAAAACUGAGUAGCUAGAGUACGAAAGAGGGUCGCGGAAUUCCCGGUGUAGAGGUGAAAUUCGUAGAUAUCGGGAGGAACACCAGUGGCGAAGGCGGCGACCUGGACGGACACUGACGCUGAGACGCGAAAGCGUGGGGAGCAAACAGG